AUUAUUGCAAACAAAGUGAACCGUAAAGAAUGGGACAAUGAAAGAUACCUUGAAACUGAAUAUAUAGUUAGUUGCUACUUGCUCUGGCUAUAUCAAGAAGAAGAAGAUGAAAUACAGCAGCAUGAAUUAUUGAGCUCAAGUGCCUCUGCUAAAAUACUCUUCAAUAAGUCUUUGAUAUACAGGUGCACUUGUUCAGUCAUUCAAGCUAAACCAAACCAAACCAAGCCAAGAAAAUUUCCUACUAAAAAUUUAGGUCUCUGUCCGUUUGGAAGAUUAUUCUUUCCUCCUCGGUGAAAAAUUUGGCUAUGAUAACUAUGGCAACAGAACAGAAAGUCAGAAUAAAAGUCGAGUCGCCGACGUCUGAGUUUCAAGUGGAAGUAAAAGGAAGUGAUAAAGUUAAUGAGUUGAUCAAGAUUGUAAAACAAGCAUGGGGGAGUGAAUUUAUGUUACUUAGGCAUAAUUCAGUUGAAAUGAAAGGUGAUGAGAUCUUAUCUACAUAUGAUGUUAAAGAUGGUUCUGUCAUUAGAGUCAAUGUAUUUGCUGAAGCUCCUUGAUAUUAAUUUGUAAGUGAUUCUGAAGAAUUUUUUAGGGUUAAUUUGUGGGAUGUAUGAAUAAUAUUGUUAUAAGAUAAUUUAAAUUUUGUGAUUAGAAAGUACUUGUUGGGUGUUAAUGGAGAAUUUUGUAUAUACUUGUAAUAUAUCAUGUUGUUAUGUCUGGUUUGAGAUUCUUGGUAUUGGUCAUGAGUGAAUCAUGAUUAAUCUUACCAGAUAGUGA